AUUGAACGCUGGCGGCAGGCUUAACACAUGCAAGUCGAGCGGACGAGGUUGCUUCGGUAAUUGAGCUAGCGGCGGACGGGUGAGUAAAGCUUAGGAAUCUGCCUAUUAGUGGGGGACAACAUUCCGAAAGGGAUGCUAAUACCGCAUACGUCCUACGGGAGAAAGCAGGGGAUCACUUGUGACCUUGCGCUAAUAGAUGAGCCUAAGUCGGAUUAGCUAGUUGGUGGGGUAAAGGCCUACCAAGGCGACGAUCUGUAGCGGGUCUGAGAGGAUGAUCCGCCACACUGGGACUGGAACACGGCCCAGACUCCUACGGGAGGCAGCAGUGGGGAAUAUUGGACAAUGGGGGGAACCCUGAUCCAGCCAUGCCGCGUGUGUGAAGAAGGCCUUUUGGUUGUAAAGCACUUUAAGUGGGGAGGAGGCUUACCUGGUUAAUACCUGGGCUAAGUGGACGUUACCCACAGAAUAAGCACCGGCUAACUCUGUGCCAGCCGCCGCCGUAAAAC
rnacentral:rRNA from 1 species